ACAUGCAAGUCGAACGGGAUUAGUGAUAGAGAGCUUCGGCAGGAAAUUGAUUAAUUCGAGUGGCGGACGGGUGAGUGACGCGUGAGCAACCUGUCCCAGACAGGGGGAUAACACUUGGAAACAGGUGCUAAUACCGCAUAAGACCACGGGAUCACAUGGUUCUGGGGUAAAAGGAGCAAUCCGGUUUGGGGUGGGCUCGCGUCCGAUUAGCCAGUUGGCGGGGUAACGGCCCACCAAAGCGACGAUCGGUAGCCGACCUGAGAGGGUGAACGGCCACAUUGGAACUGAGAGACGGUCCAAACUCCUACGGGAGGCAGCAGUGGGGAAUAUUGCGCAAUGGGCGAAAGCCUGACGCAGCAACGCCGCCGUGAGCGAUGAAGCCUCUCGGGGUGUAAAGCUCUGUCAGUAGGGAUGAAUUUUGACCGUACCUACAGAGGAAGCAUCGGCUAACUACGUGCCAGCAGCAGC
rnacentral:rRNA from 1 species